rnacentral:rRNA from 1 species
GACGUAGGGCGCGAGCGUUGUCCGGAUUUAUUGGGCGUAAAGAGCUCGUAGGUGGCCUGUCGCGUCGGCUGUGAAAACUCGGGGCUCAACUCCGAGCUUGCAGUCGAUACGGGCAGGCUAGAGUUCGGCAGGGGAGACUGGAAUUCCUGGUGUAGCGGUGAAAUGCGCAGAUAUCAGGAGGAACACCGGUGGCGAAGGCGGGUCUCUGGACAGUUCCUGACACUGAGGCACGAAGGCCAGGGGAGCAAACGGG